AUGGUAUCAGAGCUUCAGGCCUAUUCGGAUGCUACGUGGGCUAGUGAUCUCUCGGAUCGCCGUUCACUUUCUGCGUACUGUGUUUUCCUUGGUGGUUCUCUCAUUGCCUGGAAGACGAAGAAACAGACCGCAGUUUCCCGUUCGAGUGCAGAGGCUGAGUUGCGAGCUAUGGCUCUUUUGACGGCAGAGGUGACUUGGUUACGGUGGUUAUUUCAGGAUUUUGGUGUUUCUGUCACUACACCUACUCUGCUAUUGUCUGACAGUACAGGUGCUACUAGCAUUGUGCGCGACCCUGUGAAGCAUGAUCUCACCAAGCAUAUUGGUGUUGAUGCUUUUUAUGUGCGUGCUGGUGUGUAG
rnacentral:rRNA from 1 species